rnacentral:rRNA from 1 species
UGGGGAAUAUUGGACAAUGGGCGAAAGCCUGAUCCAGCCAUGCCGCGUGUGUGAAGAAGGUCUUCGGAUUGUAAAGCACUUUAAGUUGGGAGGAAGGGCAGUAAGCGAAUACCUUGCUGUUUUGACGUUACCGACAGAAUAAGCACCGGCUAACUCUGUGCCAGCAGCCGCGGUAAUACAGAGGGUGCAAGCGUUAAUCGGAAUUACUGGGCGUAAAGCGCGCGUAGGUGGUUCGUUAAGUUGAAUGUGAAAGCCCCGGGCUCAACCUGGGAACUGCAUCCAAAACUGGCGAGCUAGAGUAGGGCAGAGGGUGGUGGAAUUUCCUGUGUAGCGGUGAAAUGCGUAGAUAUAGGAAGGAACACCAGUGGCGAAGGCGACCACCUGGGCUCAUACUGAUACUGAGGUGCGAAAGCGUGGGGAGCAAACAGG